ACAGGGACAGGUGCCAGGUGCCAGGGACAGGUGCCAGGGACAAGUGCCAGGUGACAGGGAUGGGGAAAGGUGCCAGUGCCAGGUGGCAGGUGCCAGGGGACAGGUGUCAGGGACAGGUGACAGGUGACAAGGACAGGUGCCAGGAACAGGGACAGGUGCUAGGUGACAGGGACAGGGAGGGGUAACAGGGACAGGGACAGGGACAGGUGACAGG